GGGUCAAUGUUGCAGGAGGAUGGGGGUAUUGAUGAAGAUGUGAACCAUCGAAUGAAAGUCGGAUGGAUGAAGUGGUGCCAAGCUUCUGGCAUUCUCUGUGACAAGAGAGUGCCACAAAAGCUAAAAGGCAAGUUCUACAGGACGGCGGUUCGACCCGCAAUGUUGUAUGGCACGGAGUGUUGGCCGACUAAAAGGCGACAUGUUCAACAGUUAGGUGUGGCGGAGAUGCGUAUAUUGAGAUGGAUGUGUGGCCACACGAGGAAGGAUCGAGUCCGGAAUGAUGAUAUACGAGAUAGAGUUGGGGUAGCACCAAUUGAGGAGAAGCUUGUCCAACAUCAUCUGAGAUGGUUUGGGCAUAUUCAGCGCAGGCCUCCAGAAGCUCCAGUGCAUAGCGGACGGCUAAAGCGUGCGGAGAAUGUCAAGAGAGGGCGGGGU
rnacentral:rRNA from 1 species